rnacentral:rRNA from 1 species
CUUCAGUGGGGGAUAGCCCGGGGAAACCUGGAUUAAUACCCCAUAGUCUCGCAAGAGUAAAGGUGGCCGCAAGGCUGUCGCUGGAGGAUUGGUUCGCGUUCUAUCAGCUUGUUGGUGAGGUAACGGCUCACCAAGGCAAAGACGGGUAGCUGGUCUGAGAGGAUGAUCAGCCACACUGGAACUGGGACACGGUCCAGACACCUACGGGUGGCAGCAGUUUCGAAUCAUUCACAAUGGGCGAAAGCCUGAUGGUGCAACGCCGCGUGAGGGAUGAAGGUCUUCGGAUUGUAAACCUCUGUCACUGGGGAGGAAAUGCCAACACCUAAUACGUGUUGGUUUGACUUAACCUGGAGAGGAAGCAGUGGCUAACUCUGUGCCAGCAGCCGCGGUAAUACAGAGACUGCAAGCGUUAUUCGGAUUCACUGGGCGUAAAGGGUGCGCAGGCGGCCAAGUGUGUCAGGUGUGAAAUCCCGGGGCUCAACCCCGGAACUGCGCCUGAAACUACGUGACUAGAGCAUUGGAGAGGGUAGCGGAAUUCACGGUGUAGCAGUGAAAUGCGUAGAUAUCGUGAGGAACACCAGAGGCGAAGCGGCUACCUGGACAAUUGCUGACGCUCAGGCACGAAAGCGUGGGGAGC